UGCUUAUCCAUCUUGACUGGGUAUCCAUAAAGAAGUUUGGUGUCUUAAUUGAAUUGAUUGUGAGGUUUAAUUGUACGUUGAACAUGAUUAGAAUGGUAUUCACAUAAGUUGAAAGCCACAACAUGAUGCGUCAUAUAUAAUUAUAUUUCUCAUUGUCUCUUUCAUACUUAACACGUACUACUUCUUCCCCCAUUUCAUACUUAAAACACUGAUUUGACUAUAAAUCAAUUAUUUUUAAAACUCUAGUCAUUUCAUCUUCUUUCUCAUUUUAUAGGUCAUCAUAAAUCACAAUCAAUAUACAUACAUUGCAUUUAUCAUAUCCUAGCUGUAUUCCCAAACUAGAAAUUCUAUCAUAUCCGGCCACCAAAAAAGAAGUUUAUCUGUCAUGAAUUCAAUUCUUGCUAAGUGAUCGCGAGUUAGCGAUUAAGGCAACAUUGAAUGUGGCAUUUCGAUCGGUUGAAACUUUAGGAGGGAGAAGACCUAAAAACAACGUUGAUUGGGUUCACAUUGAGUGUCCUCAACAACCGGGUGGUGUGGAGUGCGGGUAUUAUGUGAUGAGAUUCAUGUAUGAAAUAUGCACUCAAUGUUGGGAUUCGGAUGAUUUAGAUAUGGAAUUAUUCUUUAAUAGAAAGCCUUAUUCAGAAGCACAAAUUGAUGAGGUUCGUGAGAUUUGGUCUAAAUAUUUUACCGAAGAAUGCAUAUAAAUUUUUGAACUAUGAAUUGUUGGUACUUAUUAUCUAGUUUAGCUUAUUACAUAAGUGUUGAAGUAGUGUAGUUUUUUUUUUUGAAAGUCAAGUAGUGUAGUUUAAAUGUGUUGAAAACUUUGAAGUGUUGGCAAUUAUGUGUAUUGAAAACUUUGAAGUGUUGUGAAUUGAAUGUGAAAACUUUGAAGUGUUUGGCAAUUA